rnacentral:rRNA from 1 species
GGAGGAAAAGAAACCAACAGGGAUUGCCUCAGUAACGGCGAGUGAAGCGGCAAAAGCUCAAAUUUGAAAUCCCCCGGGAAUUGUAAUUUGAAGAGAUUUGGGUCCGGCCGGCAGGGGUUAAGUCCACUGGAAAGUGGCGCCACAGAGGGUGACAGCCCCGUGAACCCCYUYAAMGCCCUCAUCCCAGAUCUCCAAGAGUCGAGUUGUUUGGGAAUGCAGCUCUAAGUGGGUGGUAAAUUCCAUCUAAAGCUAAAUACCGGCGAGAGACCGAUAGCGAACAAGUACAGUGAUGGAAAGAUGAAAAGCACUUUGAAAAGAGAGUGAAAAAGUACGUGAAAUUGUUGAAAGGGAAGGGCUUGCAAGCAGACACUUAACUGGGCCAGCAUCGGGGCGGCGGGRARCAAAACCACCGGGGAAUGUACCUUUCGAGGAUUAUAACCCCGGUCYYUAYUYCCWYRYYRYCCCGAGGCCUGCAAUCUAAGGAUGCUGGCGUAAUGGUUGCAAGUCGCCCGUCUU